UACGUAGGUGGCGAGCGUUGUCCGGAUUUACUGGGCGUAAAGCGUGCGCAGGCGGUUUUGUAAGCCAGAUGUGAAAUCCCCGGGCUCAACCUGGGAAUGGCAUUUGGGACUGCAAGGCUGGAGUUUGGCAGAGGAGACUGGAAUUCCCGGUGUAGCAGUGAAAUGCGUAGAUAUCGGGAGGAAUACCGAUGGCGAAGGCGGCGAUCUGGGUCGACACUGACGCUGAGGUGCGAAAGCGUGGGGAGCAAACAGG
rnacentral:rRNA from 1 species